UUGACCUCGGAUCAGGUAGGAAUACCCGCUGAACUUAAGCAUAUCAAUAAGCGGAGGAAAAA
rnacentral:rRNA from 1 species